UACCAGCACCCCGAGUGGUCGGGACGAUUAUUGGGCCUAAAGCAUCCGUAGCCGGUUCUGCAAGUCCCCCGUUAAAUCCAGCUGCUCAACAGAUGGGCCGCGGAGGAUACUACAGAGCUAGGAGGCAGGAGAGGCAAGCGGUACUCAGUGGGUAGGGGUAAAAUCCGUUGAUCCAUUGAAGACCACCAGUGGCGAAGGCGGCUUGCCAGAAUGCGCUCGACGGUGAGGGAUGAAGGCUGGGGGAGCAAACCGG
rnacentral:rRNA from 1 species